AUUGAACGCUGGCGGCAUGCUUUACACAUGCAAGUCGAACGGUAACAGGCCGCAAGGUGCUGACGAGUGGCGAACGGGUGAGUAAUGCAUCGGAACGUGCCCAGUCGUGGGGGAUAACGCAGCGAAAGCUGCGCCAAUACCGCAUACGAUCUAUGGAUGAAAGCGGGGGACCGUAAGGCCUCGCGCGAUUGGAGCGGCCGAUGGCAGAUUAGGUAGUUGGUGGGGUAAAGGCUAACCAAGCCAACGAUCUGUAGCUGGUCUGAGAGGACGACCAGCCACACUGGGACUGAGACACGGCCCAGACUCCUACGGGAGGCAGCAGUGGGGAAUUUUGGACAAUGGGCGCAAGCCUGAUCCAGCAAUGCCGCGUGCAGGAAGAAGGCCUUCGGGUUGUAAACUGCUUUUGUACGGAACGAAACGGUCCUGGUUAAUACCCGGGGCUAAUGACGGUACCGUAAGAAUAAGCACCGGCUAACUACGUGCCAGCCGCCGCCGUAA
rnacentral:rRNA from 1 species